UACGUAGGUGACCAGCGUUGUCCGGAUUUACUGGGCGUAAAGAGCGCGCAGGCGGUCGUUCAAGUCGAGUGUGAAAGCCCCCGGCUCAACUGGGGAGGGUCAUUCGAUACUGAUCGACUCGAAGGCAGGAGAGGGAAGCGGAAUUCCCGGUGUAGUGGUGAAAUGCGUAGAUAUCGGGAGGAACACCAGUGGCGAAGGCGGCUUCCUGGCCUGUUCUUGACGCUGAGGCGCGAAAGCUAGGGGAGCAAACGGGGAU
rnacentral:rRNA from 1 species